CAGCCAUUGCUAGACUACUGCUUAAGUAAAAACGCUGCGAUUUAUGAAAACAAGUUCAGCUCAUAUGUAUAUAGGAAUUGGCAUAAUUUUAUUUUGCCAGUAAUUGAAGAAAAAACAAAUAGCACAUUGCUUCGAAUUUUAUAUGGAACCUGUUCACUAGGAAAACGAUUUAUGAGUUGUGGUUCUCUCGUUUACCUGCCUCUCUACCUCCAACAGUAAAAGAUUCAACUUAAGUUAAAGAAUAGCUGAGCAACUGACUUUCUAGCCUGUGCAUGUGUUGCAUGUCACCGGAAGAUGAACAAGUUACUUGAGCACUAUCAGUUGUAGAAGGUUUGAAAUUGCUUAGGAUUUGAGUUUUAUUUAUCGAAAUUGAUGGGAAGGAGGAAUUGCUAAAAGGCGGGGCAAGAAUAUUGGCUGCUACGUCAUUACCUGUAAUUUAGACGUGUCGUCGGUGGACCCAUGGGAUCGUCUUCUUCUGAAUACUACACUACUCCGGCGCCUUACUACACCACGACAUAUGUCCGCCUAGCUACUACACCACCAAUGCCACCGAGUACUACACCACUAAGGCUCUCCAACACGACAUCACGACGUAUGCAGCCCCCUUUUACUACACUAUAAAGGCGCCCGAAUAUUACACCACGAGAUAUGCAGCUCCGGCUUACUAUACUAAGGCUCCUCAAUACUACACCACAAAAGCCGUGGAAUAUUAAACUACUGCAGCCGCGGAGUAUUACGAAAAGAAAGCUGAGUACUAUACAACCACUUACGCAGCUCCAGCUUACUACACUGAUGCUCCUCAAUACUGCACUAGAAAGGCACCCGAGUACUACACCCUACCGCAUGCUAUACCAAGCUAUUACACUGAAGUGCAACACUACCCAACAACAUAUGCUACUCCCAGAUACUACACCGAGGCAAUGAAAUACUACUCAGCUCCAAGCUACUACACUACCAUUUACGCCGCUCUCAGUUACUACACUACCACUUACGCCGCUCCCAGUGACUACACAGAGGCUCCAGCUUAGUAAAAAAAACAACGUACGCUACUCCCCGCUAUUACCCUGAGCCAUCGAAGUACUAUUAAUCAUGAAAAUUCCCUUGUCCUCCAAGCUCCAUGACUGGAUAAUUGAGUGUUGUUUCAUCACAUCUCCUCGUUUGAAAAUGAGUAUUUCCCUGCCACAUAUUUAUGCUUU